GUGGGGAAUAUUGGACAAUGGGCGCAAGCCUGAUCCAGCCAUGCCGCGUGAGUGAUGAAGGCCUUAGGGUUGUAAAGCUCUUUCAGUGGGGACGAUAAUGACGGUACCCACAGAAGAAGCCCCGGCUAACUUCGUGCCAGCAGCCGCGGUAAUACGAAGGGGGCUAGCGUUGUUCGGAUUUACUGGGCGUAAAGCGCACGUAGGCGGAUCGUUAAGUCGGGGGUGAAAUCCUGGAGCUCAACUCCAGGACUGCCUUCGAUACUGGCGAUCUUGAGUCCGGAAGAGGUGAGUGGAACUCCUAGUGUAGAGGUGGAAUUCGUAGAUAUUAGGAAGAACACCAGUGGCGAAGGCGGCUCACUGGUCCGGUACUGACGCUGAGGUGCGAAAGCGUGGGGAGCAAACAGGAUUAGAAACCCCUGUAGUCC
rnacentral:rRNA from 1 species